AGUGAACGCUGGCGGUAGGCCUAACACAUGCAAGUCGAACGGCAGCACAGGAGAGCUUGCUCUCUGGGUGGCGAGUGGCGGACGGGUGAGGAAUACAUCGGAAUCUACUCUGUCGUGGGGGAUAACGUAGGGAAACUUACGCUAAUACCGCAUACGACCUACGGGUGAAAGCAGGGGAUCUUCGGACCUUGCGCGAUUGAAUGAGCCGAUGUCGGAUUAGCUAGUUGGCGGGGUAAAGGCCCACCAAGGCGACGAUCCGUAGCUGGUCUGAGAGGAUGAUAGGCCACCCUGGACCUGUGACACGGUCCAGACUCCUACGGGAGGCAUCAGUGGGGAAUAUUGGACAAUGGGCGCAAGCCUGAUCCAGCCAUACCGCGUGGGUGAAGAAGGCCUUCGGGUUGUAAAGCCCUUUUGUUGGGAAAGAAAUCCAGCUGGCUAAUACCCGGUUGGGAUGACGGUACCCAAAGAAUAAGCACCGGCUAACUUCGUGCCAGCAGCCGCAGUAA
rnacentral:rRNA from 1 species